rnacentral:tRNA from 1 species
AAAAAGAUAAGCUAAAAAAGCUUUUAGGUUCAUACCCUAAAUAUAGAAGUAAUCCUUCUUCUUUUUA